rnacentral:rRNA from 1 species
GCGCAGGCGGUUUCUUAAGUCUGAUGUGAAAGCCCCCGGCUCAACCGGGGAGGGUCAUUGGAAACUGGGAGACUUGAGUGCAGAAGAGGAGAGUGGAAUUCCAUGUGUAGCGGUGAAAUGCGUAGAUAUAUGGAGGAACACCAGUGGCGAAGGCGGCUCUCUGGUCUGUAACUGACGCUGAGGCUCGAAAGCGUGGGGAGCGAACAGGAUUAGAUACCCUGGUAGUCCACGCCGUAAACGAUGAGUGCUAAGUGUUGGAGGGUUUCCGCCCUUCAGUGCUGCAGCAAACGCAUUAAGCACUCCGCCUGGGGAGUACGACCGCAAGGUUGAAACUCAAAGGAAUUGACGGGGGCCCGCACAAGCGGUGGAGCAUGUGGUUUAAUUCGAAGCAACGCGAAGAACCUUACCAGGUCUUGACAUCCUUUGACCACUCUAGAGAUAGAGCUUCCCCUUCGGGGGCAAAGUGACAGGUGGUGCAUGGUUGUCGUCAGCUCGUGUCGUGAGAUGUUGGGUUAAGUCCCGCAACGAGCGCAACCCUUAUUGUUAGUUGCCAUCAUUUAGUUGGGCACUCUAGCGAGACUGCCGGUGACAAACCGGAGGAAGGUGGGGAUGACGUCAAAUCAUCAUGCCCCUUAUGACCUGGGCUACACACGUGCUACAAUGGGAAGUACAACGAGUUGCGAAGUCGCGAGGCUAAGCUAAUCUCUUAAAGCUUCUCUCAGUUCGGAUUGUAGGCUGCAACUCGCCUACAUGAAGCCGGAAUCGCUAGUAAUCGCGGAUCAGCACGCCGCGGUGAAUACGUUCCCGGGCCUUGUACACACCGCCCGUCACACCACGAGAGUUUGUAACACCCGAAGUCGGUGAGGUAACCUUUUUGGAGCCAGCCGCCUAAGGUGGGAUAGAUGAUUGGGGUGAAGUCGUAACAAGGUAGCCGUAUCGG